GUUUAUCACAUCUCUCCUGAACAUCAGAAAUGCCUGUUUUCAUUUUUGCCCUUUCUGUGGCUGCCCUUUUCCCCACUGUGUGCGUCACUUCUCUGCAUGUCUCCCCUGACGCUGGUCUUCCUUUCAAACUGAAGCAUUUUGCCAUGAUGCCCUUUGCUGCCUCACUUCAAAUGUCUGCCCCCUCCUCCGUCUUUACUUUUCCCCAAGGCCCUGGACUUGCUUUCUUUGGAGGCAGUGCCUACCCACUCUUUCUUUCCACAGCUUUGGCCAGCUGGCCCCAGAAAUCAAUCAGUGGCCCAUCAGAGACCAGGCUAGCAGCUGUCACUCCCACCAUGGAAUUUAGGUUCAAACCACAGUGCAGGCCGCCACCCUCACAGAGCCUGGUUGCCUUCCAGUGUCUCUUUGAACAAGGCCCAGCGAGUCCUUCCAUGUCUACUGCUUCAUUCCCGAAGAGAAUAAACACCUCUCCAACCUCAGCCUGCCGAGCGGAGUCACCAAAGUUCUUCCAGCAGCCUUGGCCUUUUGUAUCUGAGGCAUUUUCCAA
rnacentral:lncRNA from 1 species